rnacentral:rRNA from 1 species
UACGUAGGGUGCGAGCGUUGUCCGGAAUUAUUGGGCGUAAAGAGCUCGUAGGCGGUCCGUCACGUCGGAUGUGAAAUUCCAGGGCUCAACCCUGGACCUGCAUUCGAUACGGGCAGACUAGAGGUAUGCAGGGGAGAACGGAAUUCCUGGUGUAGCGGUGAAAUGCGCAGAUAUCAGGAGGAACACCGGUGGCGAAGGCGGUUCUCUGGGCAUUACCUGACGCUGAGGAGCGAAAGUGUGGGGAGCAAACAGG